rnacentral:rRNA from 1 species
AGCAGCCGCGGUAAUUCCAGCUCCAAUAGCGUAUAUUAAAGUUGCUGCAGUUAAAAAGCUCGUAGUUGAAUUUCGGGAUCAAUAUGUUGGUCGUGCCUCGGUACGUACUAGCUUAUUGGUUUCUCCCUUCUGACGAACCAUGAUGUCAUUUAUUUGGUGUUAUGGGAAAUCAGGACUGUUACUUUGAGAAAAUUAGAGUGUUUAAAGCAGGCUCACGCUUGAAUACAUUAGCAUGGAAUAAUGAAAUAGGACGUUUGAUUCUAUUUUGUUGGUUUCUAGGAUCGACGUAAUGAUUAAUAGGGAUAGUUGGGGGCAUUAGUAUUCAAUUGUCAGAGGUGAAAUUCUUGGAUUUAUUGAAGACUAACUACUGCGAAAGCAUUUGCCAAGGAUGUUUUCAUUAAUCAAGAACGAAAGUUAGGGGAUCGAAGACGAUCAGAUACCGUCGUAGUCUUAACCAUAAACUAUGCCGACUAGGGAUCGGAUGAUGUUAAUUUUUAAUGA